GAUGAACGCUGGCGGCGUGCCUAAUACAUGCAAGUCGAACGAGGUGCUUUUUGUAGCAAUACGAAAGUAUCCUAGUGGCGAACGGGUGAGUAACGCGUUGGUGACCUACCCCAAAGUGUGGGAUAACAGUUCGAAAGAACUGCUAAUACCGCAUGUGGUUAUCGGGUUUAGAAACUGAUAACUAAAGGAGCAAUUCGCUUUGGGAGGGACCUGCGUCCCAUCAGCUAGUUGGUGAGGUAACGGCUCACCAAGGCUACGACGGGUAGGGGACCUGAGAGGGUGGCCCCCCACAAUGGAACUGAAACACGGUCCAUACACCUACGGGUGGCAGCAGUAGGGAAUAUUGCACAAUGGGCGAAAGACCUGAUGCAGCAACGCCGCGUGUGCGAUGAAGGCCUCGGUCGUAA
rnacentral:rRNA from 1 species